GAAACAGGAAGUUUUAUGCCUUAUGUGGUAGUAGAUUUGAAGGAUUGGUAUGGUGCUAUAAAAAAAGACUCGCCUUUAUGUGGUUGGGUCCUUUUGUCCACCAUUAGAUGAUGUUUUUGGCGUGGGGGAUUGGGCGCAAAGGGAUUGGGGAUUAGACUAUUGCGCUGUCAGUUGGUAAUGAUAGAGUGGUUUUUUUGUCUACAGUCUGAUAUAGAUGUUUUGAAAGCCUUUAAGGAAAAUUUCUAUAGAAUUUGUGGUUCUUUGAUGAGUUUAAAAGCUUGGAAUCCUUUGGAGCACUAAGAAAGUGGAAUGUUGGACCGGCUGUGAGGCAAAGCUCUGUGCGCCGGGGAUCUUGCAGACUUGAGAAAAGUUGGGGAAUUUUGUGAGGUCGAUAAGAGAGCUAUAUCGUGCAAUUAAGAUUACGAGAUUUGUUGGACUUCUUUGUCUAAGAAAAG
rnacentral:lncRNA from 1 species